CGUAACACAUUUGGGCUCGAAGACUUAGUCUGGGUUGGAUAAUAGGCUGACAAGUAAAGUUAGAAAUGGUAGGAUCCACGAAAUGGGCUUCUUUUCUUGUACUCUUUGCUUUGUGUUCGUUAUGGGCGAGUAAAGAGGUAUUUGGACACUUCAGUAUUGGAAGAGAAGUCAAACGGCCAUUCAGGGAAGGCCAAAUAAACUCUCAAAGAAACUUUGAAACUGAGUCCCAUCUCAGAAAAAAUCAACGGAGGACAGGUGAAAGAAGUGUCGGAACAUACAAACACGAAGGAUAUCAAAACGACGACUCAGAUUGAAAACGAGAUUUCCAUGCCAACAUCAUUUACUAUUACUAUUUAAAAAUUGACAGCUUAAUUGAUGUCAUUCAGGCUCGCCAAUUAGAACUCACGAUUAAUCAGUACAAUAUCGCAAUUAUAAGCUUAUUACUGAAAUUUUACAACAUAUCUAAGAAAAACCUUUGCUUUCUAACAGGUGUGCAAGAAGAUUGAACAACAAAUAACAAAUAAAGUUAACCAAUUUGAUACAUAACAUGUUGUUUUGGCUAUCUUGGGAAUUUUUUUUUACGUACUGCAUUCUCGUUCAAUUUAAUGUUUCUCACACAAGACUCGAACUAGAUGACUCUAUCAUCAUAAAAGUCAUCUCGAUUGCUGGCGGUUAUUACUUUGUAUGUGAAAAUGGAUGCACUUAGGAGGUUAUAAUCAGGGAAUAGUUAUAAUAAUGGAAGAGCAAAUUUUGCCCGGUCUCUGAUAAUAAAACUGGAGAAAUAUACCAAGCUGAUUUUCUGCCCGAUUUCCUCCGAAGAUAUGCGAUAAUUUAUAAAGUUUUUCAGAGGAGACAAAAAGCCGCUUUGCGAACUACCUAAAGCCCUGGCCAAGCGGACUCGCAAGUAGACCCAAAUUGAAAACUUGGUUCUACUUGGGAGUCCGUUUGGCCAGGCCUUGCAUGCACUUGUGUUGA